AAAGAUUAAGCCAUGCAUGUCUAAGCACAUGCCUUAAUACGGUGAAGCCGCGAAUAGCUCAUUACAACAGCCACCGUUUACUAGAAUAUAGCUAUCCUACUUGGAUAACUGUGGCAAUUCUAGAGCUAAUACAUGCAAAAAAGCUCUGCCCGCAAGGAACGAGCGCAUUUAUUAGAAUAAAAACCAAUCGGGUUUCGGCCCGUAAUUUGGUGAAUCUGAAUAACUUUGCCAAUCGCACAGUCCUAGUACUGGCGAUGUAUCUUUCAAGUGUCUGCCUUAUCAACUUUCGAUGGUAGGUUAUACGCCUACCAUGGUAGUAACGGGUAACGGAGAAUAAGGGUUCGACUCCGGAGAGGAAGCCUGAGAAACGGCUACCACAUCCAAGGAAGGCAGCAGGCGCGCAAAUUACCCACUUCCAGAACGGAGAGGUAGUGACGAAAAAUAACGAGACAGUCCUCUUCGAGGUCUGUCAUCGGAAUGGGUACAAUUUAAAUCCUUUAACGAGGAUCUAUUGGAGGGCAAGUCUGGUGCCAGCAGCCGCGGUAAUUCCAGCUCCAAUAGCGUAUACUAAAGUUGUUGCGGUUAAAACGCUCGUAGUUGGAUCUGCGGCCUCGGAGAACGGUCCCCCGAAAGGGUGGUCACUGUCUCUCCUAGCCUAAAUUCGAGUCGUCUCUAGGUGCUCUUUACCGAGUGCUUAGAGUGACUAGAACGUUUACUUUGAAAAAAUUAGAGUGCUUAAAGCAGGCGAAAUAGCCUGAAUAAGGUGCAUGGAAUAAUGGAAUAGGACCUCGGUUCUAUUUUGUUGGUUUUCGGAACCCGAGGUAAUGAUUAAGAGGAACAGACGGGGGCAUUCGUAUUCCGGCGCUGGAGGUGAAAUUCUUGGACCGCCGGAAGACGGACGACUGCGAAAGCAUUUGCCAAGAAUG
rnacentral:rRNA from 1 species